CAGCACCUCAAGUGGUCAGGAUGAUUAUUGGGCCUAAAGCAUCCGUAGCCGGCUCUGUAAGUUUUCGGUUAAAUCUGUACGCUCAACGUACAGGCUGCCGGGAAUACUGCAGAGCUAGGGAGUGGGAGAGGUAGACGGUACUCGGUAGGAAGGGGUAAAAUCCUUUGAUCUAUUGAUGACCACCUGUGGCGAAGGCGGUCUACCAGAACACGUCCGACGGUGAGGGAUGAAAGCUGGGGGAGCAAACCGGAUUAGAUACCCGAGUAGUCC
rnacentral:rRNA from 1 species